CAGGGCGGCCAUUGCAACUGAUUGAUCCAAGUUUCGGACCUCCAAUGCGACGGUGUUAAAAUGGUUGACGUAAGUUCGAAUGGAUUCUCCCUCCUUUUGCUUGAUGUUGAUGAGGGACUCUGAACCUCUUCGGGGAUGCCGGCUGCUGACGAAAUGAGCCGCAAACUAAUGGCUCAUUUGAUUAAAGGAGAAGAUAGUAUCCGGCUUCAGUGUCGAGUAUCAAUUUUUUGCUGCCCCUUUCAAGGU
rnacentral:lncRNA from 1 species